rnacentral:rRNA from 1 species
ACUUACGGCCACACCGCCUGGUUCACGCCCGAUCUCGUUUGAUCUCGGAAGCUAAGAUAGGUUGGGCCUGGUUAGUACUUGGAUGGGAGACCGCCUAGGAAUACCAGGUGCUGUAAGGC